GAUGAACGCUGGCGGCGUGCCUAAUACAUGCAAGUCGAACGAAACUUCUUUAUCACCGAGUGCUUGCACUCACCGAUAAAGAGUUGAGUGGCGAACGGGUGAGUAACACGUGGGCAACCUGCCCAAAAGAGGGGGAUAACACUUGGAAACAGGUGCUAAUACCGCAUAACCAUAGUUACCGCAUGGUAACUAUGUAAAAGGUGGGUAUACUACCGCUUUUGGAUGGGCCCGCGGCGCAUUAGCUAGUUGGUAGGGUAAAGGCUUACCAAGGCAAUGAUGCGUAGCCGAAUUGAGAGGUUGAUCGGCCACAUUGGGACUGAGACACGGCCCAAACUCCUACGGGAGGCAGCAGUAGGGAAUCUUCCACAAUGGGCGAAAGCCUGAUGGAGCAACGCCGCGUGGGUGAAGAAGGUCUUCGGAUCGUAAAACCCUGUUGUUAGAGAAGAAAGUGCGUGAGAGUAACUGUUCACGUUUCGACGGUAUCUAACCAGAAAGCCACGGCUAACUACGUG
rnacentral:rRNA from 1 species